UACGUAGGGACCAAGCGUUGUUCGGAUUUACUGGGCGUAAAGGGCGCGCAGGCGGCUUGACAAGUCACUUGUGAAAUCUCCGGGCUUAACUCGGAACGGCCAAGUGAAACUGUCAUGCUAGAGUGCAGAAGGGGCAAUCGGAAUUCUUGGUGUAGCGGUGAAAUGCGUAGAUAUCAAGAGGAACACCUGAGGUGAAGACGGGUUGCUGGGCUGACACUGACGCUGAGGCGCGAAAGCCAGGGGAGCAAACGGG
rnacentral:rRNA from 1 species